UUUAAUUGGCACUCGUUUUUUGGGAUAGUGUAUUUGAAAAACAUGAUCGUUGAUUUCACUUUCGCUCGAACCCGGAAGUGGCCUAGCUAGCUUGUCUGAUAGCAGCUCGAUGCUAUCGGGACUUUCCGCAGCCUGACUCAUAGACGUAGCCCGCGGUGCUGAAGGAGGGGGGAGAGGUUUGAGAUAUAUUUUUUUUAUAUAUAUCUACAUAUAUAGCUAUAUAUGUAGAUAUAUAGAUUUUUUUUUUCUUUGCUCAUCGGAACCAUUUUGUUUAAUUGAGGAUGGAAAGACGCACUGCACCGGCUUUUGGCUCAUCAGUUACAUUUUUGCUGACUGCUCUUUCUGAGUGAGCCAUUUCAAACAUCUUCCUCUCACGAGGGGCACCUCCAACUGCCUACUUGUCUUGUUCAUCCCCAAAACCAUGGACACUCUGGUUCAACUGAAGAACAAUCAAUUUUUGAUGAGCCUCUGUCGCAGCGGACCCCCGCCUGACCUGCAGUAUGACAACUCCUCAGAACUCUUCCGCAUCUCCACCUUCGCCCGCUUCCCGGCGUCGGCCGUCAGUGAGCGCAGCCUUGCGCGCGCCGGCUGGUUCUACACAGGCGUGGGGGACCGCGUGCAGUGCUUCCGCUGCAACGUGACGGCCGAGGGCUGGCUGGCGGGCGAUUGUCCCGCCGAGAAGCACCGGCAGCUGUCGCCGUCCUGCCCCUUUGUGCAGAGUCUGCCGUCAGCCGCCAACCUGCUCUCCUCCUCGCACUCAGCCUUCUCGCCUCUCCGUGUCGCCACCAUCGUACCGCUUCCUGGUCCAGCCGCACCGAACCCAGCGGCAGGUCCAGGCGAGGAGCCGGCGGGCUACCUGAACAUGGGCUUCUCGGGGCCGCCGCCGCCUUCUAGCCCGCUGAGCUCCCGCGGCGUGGAGGACAUGUCGCACCAGCGGCCCGCCUGCCACAACCCGGCCAUGCGGCGUGAGCAGGAUCGCCUGGACUCGUUCCACACAUGGACGCUGUCCACCAUCACGCCGGCUGAGCUGGCCAAGGCCGGCUUCUACUUCCUCGGGCUAGGCGACCACGUGGCCUGUUUCAGCUGCGGCGGCCAGCUGAGCAACUGGGAGCCGGGCGAUCGCGCCUCGUCGGAGCACCAGCGCCACUACCCCAACUGCCGCUUUGUGCGAGGCGACCGCACCGACAACGUGUCACUGGCAGGGCCGGCGCCGCCCUUGUCGUCGUCAUCCUCGCAGUUGUCGUCCGCCGCCCUCAACAACGUGUCCAACCCGUCCAUGCGGCAGAGUGACGAGCGCCUGCUCACCUUUGUCAACUGGCCCACGCGCAUCCCCGUCAGGCCCGAACAGCUGGCCAAAGCCGGAUUCUACUAUGUCGGUCGCAAUGAUGACGUGAAGUGCUUCUGCUGUGAUGGUGGUUUGCGCUGCUGGGAGUCAGGAGACGAUCCCUGGGUGGAACAUGCAAAAUGGUUUCCACGGUGUGAAUAUUUGCUGCAGGAGAAAGGUCAAGAAUUUGUGCAUCAGAUUCAGGCGCGCUUCCCUCGACUUUUUGAGCAGCUUCUGACAAACGGAGACAGCAGCUCCAGAGAGUUUGUGGAUCCACCAGUUGUGCAUCUGGGCCCGGGCGACGAGCGUUGCGAGGACGCGGUGAUGAUGAACACGCCGGUCGUCAAGUCGGCCCUGGAAAUGGGCUUCGAGCGUAGCCUGGUCAAGCAGACGGUGCAGAGCAAGAUCCUCAGCAGCGGUGAGAACUACCGCACCGUCCAAGAACUGGUCUCGGACCUGCUCAGCGCCGAGGAUCAGAAGAGGGAGGAGGAGCGAGAGAUGAUGGCCGAGGCUAUGGCGUCGGACGGUUUCACGUUUGUCAAGCGACACCAGGCGGCUCUGGUGCAGCGGCUCAAGAGCGUGGAGCCUGUCUUGGAACAUCUCAGAGAGCAAAAUGUGCUAAGCGCCGAGGAAUACAACGGGCUUCAGGCGCAGACGUCGCCGCAGCAGCAGACGGCUCGUCUCAUCGAGCUGGUCCUCACUAAAGGCAACGCGGCCGCAGAGGUUUUUCGCAACUGGAUCCAAAAGAACGACGUGCAUCUGCUCAGAGAGCUCAUGGCUCAGUCCAACGAAGCAGCAUCUCCUAGCCAAGACCUGUCAGGUCUUCCCAUGGAGGAGCAACUGCGGCGUCUCCAGGAGGAGCGAACGUGCAAAGUGUGCAUGGACAAGGAGGUCAACAUCGUCUUCAUCCCGUGCGGACACCUGGUGGUGUGCAAAGACUGCGCCCCGUCCCUACGCAAGUGUCCCAUCUGUCGAGGCUUGGUCAAAGGCACGGUACUAUUUCAGACAGAACAACAAACGUGGAGGACAGACCGGGGCAAGUUGGGGCAUUUCUCCACUGGCUGAACGACGACGGAACGUUGGUUAAGGCGAACCGCCACCGAGUUACCCUCUCGACAUAGUGUGAAGAUAUCAUCCAUGUUUACACUGGGCUGCUUCUUGAAAUCCCGUUUGGAGUCUGGGACGUGCAGCUUUAAAUGCGGAAGCAUCUCUUUCUUAUUUGUUCAAAGACUCCGCAUCGACUGUUCUCGCUAUCGACCGCGCACGCAGCAGACGGAGUCGUCCUAAUUGGAUCCCGCGUUUGUGGAAGAGCUUUCACGCGUUCGGGAGGCGGCGGCCCGUAACGAGACUCGCAUUAACAGGCGAGCCUUUGAGCCCGUCACAUCACGUCCGAGCGCAUCACGUUCCACAGCCCUGGUCCGUGUUUUCACUCGGAGUGUCCUACGGGCAUCCGGGCGCCGCACCUGUCGGAGAAUUCGUGUCAGUGAACAUCAACCGAGAGCGGCGGCAGUCAAGCGUGAUUUUGUCCAAUGGGAGGAGUCCUUAAGAUGCUACAUCACACGCAGCACGCGAGCAGCCAGCCAUGUUUGCUAACACGUGGUCCGCGUGACAGCGCUUGCCCGCCUUUCUGCUUGCGUGCAUGGAAAAUGCUUUCAUGGCACGUUUUCCAAAGUUUUACAGAGAGAGAAAAAUGUCACCUCGAAGCCAGAUGAGAUUAGCGGCAAACAUCACUUGAAGUCAACCUGGCGGUUAAAGUUCACCCAAAUUCGAGACAAGAGGUGUUGGAUGGAACCGAUGAUGAACUGAGUCACCUCCUUAUUCUUCGGCGAGCUCUACGACAAUGAGUCAUUUCAUCUACUACUGAGGAAUUUCAAUUCCUCCCUGUCACACCUCAAGAGUGCUGAAGUGGCUGCCGACAGAAAAGGACACAUGGAGCGCUUGGCCAGGCGGGCAUCAAUCAAUGCUGUCAAUGCAGAAUCAUAAGAGAUGCUCAAGGCUUCAUUCGCCUUCCGACAGUUCUGCUUCAUAUCUGGCAACCUAGGACUCAAGAUAGUGACACCAUCGUCCCGUCAUGUUUCAAGGCUGCCACCAUCGUACCUGUGCCGAAGAAACCCGCUCCGUCCUGCUUCAAUGACUACCGCCCCGUGGCACUUACGCCCAUCAUCAUGAAGUGCUUUGAGCAGCUUGUCAUGGAGCACAUCCGAUCCGUUCUCCCCCCCACCAUUGACCCCUUCCAGUUUGCGUACCGAGCCAAACGGUCCUCUGAGGAUGCCAUCUGCUCUUCACCCUCCUGACGCAUGACUGCACUGCAACCUACAGCGACAACCGUAUAGUGAAGUUUGCUGACGACACGACUCUGGUGGGUCUCAUCACCAAGGGAGACGAGACUCAAUACAGGCUGGAGGUUGACCUUCUGACCACGUGGUGCAGGGACAACAACGUCCUGCUGAACGUCGACAAGACCAAGGAGAUUGUUGUGGACUUCCGGAAGGGUCACACCCAACACCUGCCGCUGACCAUCGACUGUGCUGUGGUGGAGAGAGUGAGCAGCGCCAAGUUCCUGGGGGUGCACAUCAGUGAGGAUCUCUCCUGGUCCACCAACACCGCAUCACUGACAAAGAAAGCCCAGCGCUGCCUGUACUUCCUGCGGAAACUCAGGCGAGCGAGCGCCCCUCCGGCCGUCAUGACUACAUUUUAUUGCGGCACCAUUGAGAGCGUCCUCUCCAGCUGUAUUGCUGUUUGGGGUGGCGGCUGCACUGACUACAACUUGAAGGCCCUGCAGCGCAUAGUGAACACGGCUGGUAAGAUUGCUGGUGCUUCGCUCCCCUCCUUGAAGGACAUUUACACCUCCCAUCUCACCCGCAAGGCGACCACGAUUGUGAGUGAUGUGAGUCACCCCGCUCACUCUUUGUUCGAGCUUCUGCCCUCUGGGAAGAGGUACAGAAGCCUGCGCUGCCGCACCACCAGACUCUCAAACAGCUUCAUACUCCAGGCUGUCAGGAUCCUGAACUCGCUUCCCCGUUCUGCGUAGCGUCCUGUACUUUUACUGUCUGUAUGCACACUGGCUUUUAUUCGUUGUGUUAUCUAUUUAUUUAUUGUUACUCUUAUUAUUUAUUGUUUGUGCCUUGUUUUUUUUAUAUUGCGUUGUUUACUUGUAUGUCUAUCGUGUAAUAGGUCUUGUCACCGUGGGAUAGGGAAAAUGUAAUUUCGAUCUCUUUGUGUGUUUCGGCAUGUGAAGAUGUUUUUUUUUACUUUGUCUUUCGGUCGUGGAUGAAAGUGCAGGUAACAUGAUCCAGUAUUAAUAUCCAACAUGCUUGAAUAAGUCCCAAAUUGUUAUUUAGUGAAAUGCCAAGCUCUGAGGAAAACCAUGUGCAAACAAAUAUCCCUGAUUCAUCACUGCCCUAUAAAUCACCAGAUUGUAAAUCUUGCAGAUUUUAUUGCAGUCUUAAAAGUUAACACCACUUUCCUGCAAAAUAACAUUAAAAUAUAAAGUUACAGACGUCACGUGACUAUUCCCACCUAUAUUUGUUUACGCAGCCGCAUUGGCAGUUGAGUAGCGCCAGCACGCCAAGCGCUGAUAAAACGGGCGUUUAUCUGGCAGAAUUCCGUCCAAUUGAAUUAACAUCUCGCUUUGAUGAAAUGAGAUAAACCGGAUUUGGAAAAAAAAAAUUGAAAUUGAGCCGUUUAGACUGACACAAUAAAAAAAUCUGACACUGGUUAGGUCAUUGCUUCUCAAAUAGUGGGGCGCGGCGCCCUUGGGGGGCGUGAUGCUAUACCUGGGGGGGCGCGUGUGACCCUGGGGUACAGGCUUUUUUUUUGGCAGUACUAGAAUAAAGUGUAAUUGCGCAUUUACUACAGCAGGGGGCAGUGGCGCUCUCAUUGUUACUUCUGUCACGUUUACGACAGUGCAACAUUUUACGACUUACAAGACAAGUUAGGGGGGGGCGUAACAGAAAAUAAUUGAGAAGCACUGCGCGCCCCACUAUUUGAGAAGCACUGGCCUAGGUGACUGAUUCACAAUUUGGUUUUGUCUGAUAUCAGAUAUUAAAUAAAGAAAGCCAACUGGCUGAUUGAUUUGUUUUAAUUGAGAGGGAAAAAAAACAGCAAAAGCAUUUCACUAGCUGACCAGGAGAUGGCGACAGCGUGGCAUCUGAAGACCAUGGAUUGUUUGUUCUGCUAUAGCCUAGGUGACUGAUUCACAAUUUGGUUUUGUCUGAUAAUAGAUAUUAAAUAAAGAAAACCAA